UUUGUAAGUUUAAGUCAUCUUGCAAAUAACAUGACCCGAAACCUGGGAUUAAGUCACUGUAGUUGAAGUUUCAUUUAACCGUUUAGCUGAUUUCGUACUGGUUAUAACUACAAUACGUAUAACUACCAUUUAUACUGUAUACUAUUGAAUACCACAUAUAAAUCACGGGUCUACAAAUCUGACAUAUCACCGUUAAAUGUUAUUAGAUCAGCUGUAUUAUAUCGUAGAAUCAUAAUCAAAUAUGAACUGAGAGUAAAAUACAAUACUGGAUCGCAAAAUGGCCGAUUUCGGAUGAGAUCAUAGAAUAUAAAGGUUUUGGUGAAUGAUCAUGAUCUGUGAUGAAGAAAGAACAUAAGAUAACCAGAAAGAGAGAGAGAGAGAGAAAUGGGGUUUAACGUCCACUCGACACAAACUAGGUCAUUUCGGGACUAACAUAUGGUUUAAUUUUAUUUACAUAAUUCGCUUGCGCGUAGGGGUCUUUAGCAGUGGGAGGAAACCGGAGGCCCCGGAGAAAACCCACGAGGUUGGACAGGCGACCCUACUCCUUGCCACGUACAACCGGGGAUUCGAAACCACGCCAGUCGACUCAAUGACAGACUUUAUGAUACAGCGCGCGCACGCUAACCAUUCAGCCAUCCAACCCCCAAGAUAACCAGAAAAGUAAUUGGGAAGACUGGUCGCCCAUCAAGGUUUUUAUCAGCUAAAUGUCCAUCAUCGGAAUCAUUACAAACAGGUACGAGCGUGACGUUAUGAUCACCAUCUUUUAAUUGUGACGUCAUAUCAAAAUCGAAGUACGCCAAUCGAGGCACAACGGUCCGAAGAACACGCAUGCCAAGUUUCAUUUGGAUCGUACUUGAAUUGGGAAGCCUUGGUCUUUUUUUCGAAGUAGAAGAACAAGAUGAGUAUAUAGCGCUUAUGGCCUAAUUAGAGAGCCAAAAAUCUCAUAGGACGGAAAAUUGCACAAAAUUAACAUUGGAGGCAAUAAAAAAAUAAUUGCUUAAUAAAUGACUUGUCUCCCUUGGCCAGAAUAAACCAAUAGCGGAUUAUGGGUUGUAAACUCUGUAUAUAUUCAGUAGUUUGUUUGCCAAACACUUGUUAAUAAAUGAGAUAAAUAAAGAGUUGGUAUCAAAGUAUACAUAGACUAAUGAAAUACUCAUCAAGUUUAUCACGACUCUUGGCGUGUUAGAAAAUCCAAUAUGGCUGUUUAUGGGCUACAACCAAGACGUAUUGUCAUAUGCAGUUUAAAAGUAAUAUUUAUCACAUUAAAUUUCUGUAUUAUAUAAUUAUGUAACUUUAAUCGCCAAGGAUAUAAAAAUCACAUUCAUUCCCGGUGACUAGUCGUUCGGGUGGGACAAAAGACCGAAGCCGCGUGUGCACGUGUGCGUGCACUUAACA